AUUGAACGCUGGCGGCAUGCCUUACACAUGCAAGUCGAACGGUAACAGGUCUUCGGAUGCUGACGAGUGGCGAACGGGUGAGUAAUACAUCGGAAUGUGCCUAGUAGUGGGGGAUAACUACUCGAAAGAGUGGCUAAUACCGCCUGAAAUCUACGGAUGAAAGCAGGGGCGCGCAAGACCUUGGUCUGCUCGAGAGGCCGAUGGCAGAUUUGGUAGUUGGUGGGAUAAAAGCUUACCAAGCCGACGAGCUGUAGCUGGUCUGAGAGGACGAUCAGCCACACUGGGACUGAGACACGGCCCAGACUCCUACGGGAGGCAGCAGUGGGGAACUUUGGACAAUGGGCGCAAGCCUGAUCCAGCAAUGCCGCGUGCAGGAUGAAGGCCGUCGGGUUGUAAACUGCUUUUGUACGGAACGAAAAGCCCCGGGUUAAUACCCUGGGGUAAUGACGGUACCGUAAGAAUAAUCACCGGCUAACUACGUGCCAGCAGCCGCAGUAA
rnacentral:rRNA from 1 species